rnacentral:rRNA from 1 species
UACAGAGGGUGCGAGCGUUGUUCGGAAUUACUGGGCGUAAAGCGCGCGCAGGCGGCCUUUUAAGUCUGACGGUGAAAUGCCGGGGCUCAACCCCGUGCCCGCCGCGGAUACUGGGAGGCUGGAGACAUGUAGAGGCAAGCGGAAUAUGUCAUGUAGCGGUGAAAUGCUUAGAUAUGACAUAGAACACCGAUAGCGAAGGCAGCUUGCUACACAGUUAUUGACACUGAGGCACGAAAGCGUGGGGAGCAAACAGG